rnacentral:rRNA from 1 species
GACGAACGCUGGCGGCGUGCUUAACACAUGCAAGUCGAACGAAGAGCGAUGGACGCUUGCUUCUAUCAAUCUUAGUGGCGAACGGGUGAGUAACGCGUAAUCAACCUGCCCUUCAGAGGGGGACAACAGUUGGAAACGACUGCUAAUACCGCAUACGAUCUAAUCUCGGCAUCGAGGAUAGAUGAAAGGUGGCCUCUACAUGUAAGCUCUCACUGAAGGAGGGGAUUGCGUCUGAUUAGCUAGUUGGAGGGGUAACGGCCCACCAAGGCGAUGAUCAGUAGCCGGUCUGAGAGGAUGAACGGCCACAUUGGGACUGAGACACGGCCCAGACUCCUACGGGAGGCAGCAGUGGGGAAUCUUCCGCAAUGGACGAAAGUCUGACGGAGCAACGCCGCGUGAGUGAUGACGGCCUUCGGGUUGGAAAGCUCUGUUAAUCGGGACGAAAGGCCUUCUUGCGAAUAGUGAGAAGGAUUGACGGUACCGGAAUAGAAAGCCACGGCUAACUACGUG